AUGGCAAUGGCGUCCACCAAGCCCCUGGCCCUCCUGCUGCUCGUGGUUCUGUCCGCGACGAUGGCCAUGCCCGCCGCCGGACAAGGCUCCUGCAACGGCCACAAGGCGCUCUUCCCCAACGGGUAUCUGCUCCCCAGCGGGAAGCACGAGUCGUUCGACGUCUGCGCGUGGACGGGGAGCGUGUCGGCGCAGGGCGCUGCCGUGGCCGAGUUCCACAUGGACCACGAGGGCGGGGCGUACUACGAGGUGAGCACCAACCAGGCGAGCAUGCCCGUCCGUGUCUCCGUCACCCCGCACGGCAGCCCGCUGCAGGGCCACUGCCCCACCGCCGGGUCCGACACCGGCAACCACUGCUUCGAGCACUCCGUCCCCGGCGGCAACUGCCACGGCGUCACCGAGAUCAAGAUCGUCUACUACAACCCAUAG
rnacentral:rRNA from 1 species